GGCAACAUGCUCAGGUCUCUUACCACGCUGUGGAAGCUUUGUUCUUUCGCUCUUUGCAAUGAAUCCUGCUGCUGCUCACUCUUUGGGUCCACACUGCCUUUAUGAGCUGUAACACUCACUGUGAAGGUCCGCAGCUUCCCUCCUGAGCCAGCGAGACCAGGAACCCACCAGAAGGAAGAAACUCAGAACACAUCCCAACAUCAGAAGGAACAAACUCCAGACGCGCCACCUUAAGAGCUGUAACACUCACCGCGAGGGUCUGCGGCUUCAUUCUUCAAGUCAGUGAGACCAAGAACCCACCAAUUCCGGACACACCAAGUCCUGAGUUCAGAAUUUUGUUUUUGAGAUGAACAUAAAAGCACCUAAAGGUCAAGGAAGAUGUUCUUCCUGUGAUAAGGAACACAAAGCCUGUUUGGUGGUCUCUUCACACGGAAGCGCAUGACACUUCGCUUUAGUGUAGAUGACCACUCCCCUCUGUAAGAGUCCAUUCUAAGUUGUUCUGUCAGUGAAACUCUGUUUAAAACAUGGCUUGUAUGAAGUUGUCAGGAAUCGGCUCUGACACUUGGAUGAUUCUUCAGCUGGCUAUAAAAUUCUAAAAUCAGAGUAACCGUGUAUUGACUUCCAACAUUCCACAUUUCCAAAGGUGUUUCCUGUGAUCUCUGGGAUCCUGAUCCGCACCACUCAACUUUGGCCUCCUAAACUUCAUCCUUGACCCCACCCCAGGUAGGAAGGAUGUGUGGAUAUUUCUUUUAUCUUUCUGCAACGAUGACCUUUUGGAGAAAAAGAAAGGAAGCAGCUAUCAUAGUGUGAAAUUUCACAGCCAAAACUUCUGCAUCAGCUUCAUAAGGCAGGAAGCCUACAAAUUCCCCUCUUAUGUUUUGAGACUCAUCAACAAACCUCACCGAGACUCAUCAACAAAUCUCACCAACAUAGGACCUCUUGACCAGAAUUUAUCCAGCACUCCAGCACGGCUUGCACGUUAUCUGGAGUAAAGAGACCUUCUGGGAUUUCAUCAGCCUCCUGUCCAUCAAGAGAGCCACAGCUAAGAACCUAGAAGGGUAGAAGCAAAAGAUUUUUUUCCUCCUGUAUAAUCCCAAUCCACUACUUAGUUCUUCCAGUUUUUGACUGACUGAAUUUUCAGUGAACUGUGUGUCUAACUGAAGCUUUGAGAGAGAGAGAGAGAGAAAGAAGGAAAAAAAGAAAAGGUUUUACUUCACUUGAACUUGUUAAAAAGGAAGAGACACAGAUCCAGCAUAGUAGAAGGAGAAAGAAAGCAGACAACAGUUUGGAAUGGAGGCAUUGAGACGGAAGAGUCCAUUGGAGAUGGAAUGUACACACAAAAAUAACAA
ensembl:lncRNA novel transcript, antisense to RGS7